GACGAACGCUGGCGGCGUGCUUAACACAUGCAAGUCGAGCGGAAAGGCCACUUCGGUGGUACUCGAGCGGCGAACGGGUGAGUAACACGUGAGUAAUCUGCCCCUGGCUUCGGGAUAGCCACCGGAAACGGUGAUUAAUACCGAAUAUGACAUGGACUCGCAUGGGAUUGUGUGGACAGUUUUUCGGCCAGGGAUGUGCUCGCGGCCUAUCAGCUUGAUGGUGCGGUAAUGGCUCACCAUGGCUUCGACGGGUAGCCGGCCUGAGAGGGUGACCGGCCACACUGGAACUGAGACACGGCCCAGACUCCUACGGGAGGCAGCAGUGGGGAAUAUUGGACAAUGGGCGGAAGCCUGAUCCAGCAACGCCGCGUGAGGGAUGACGGCCUUCGGGUUGUAAACCUCUUUCAGUACCGACGAAGCGCAAGUGACGGUAGGUACAGAAGAAGCACCGGCCAACUACGUGCCAGCCGCCGCGGUAACAC
rnacentral:rRNA from 1 species